GUAAGGAUAGUGAUGACCCAGCAAACCCUGAACACAGGCCUACGGAUAUGAGGAUAUUCUGAUGAGCACUGCAAGAUUAAUUAAGCCUUGAGGAAGGAACGGAAGAUCUAAAAUAAUUUCUAAAAUACUGUUAGACAUGGGAAUUGCGGUGAAGGAUCCUACUAUUCGACAACAAUAUGAUCAGACUACAGUCAAAUGCUAAAAAUGGAACUACUGCAAAAAGACCAGCAAGACCUUACAAGCCAUUUAUCUCCUAAUGAGUAAAAAUGUGGAGCGAUCCACAUAGGAAAUUCGGGAUCUGCUUUCAUCAAGAUGUCCUCAUAAACAUCACUGUUAUCACAAUCAGAAGAUAACUGAAGGAACCUGAGUGGAAUUAUG